GCGAACGUAGCUCAGGGGUAGAGCAUCGGAUUGUGGUUCCGAUGGCCGUGGGUUCGAAACCCAUCGUUCGCCCCA
rnacentral:tRNA from 1 species